CGGCCACAUUGGGACUGAGACACGGCCCAGACUCCUACGGGAGGCAGCAGUGGGGGAUAUUGCACAAUGGGGGAAACCCUGAUGCAGCGACGCCGCGUGGAGGAAGAAGGUUUUCGGAUUGUAAACUCCUGUCGUUAGGGACGAUAAUGACGGUACCUAACAAGAAAGCACCGGCUAACUACGUGCCAGCAGCCGCGGUAAAACGUAGGGUGCAAGCGUUGUCCGGAAUUACUGGGUGUAAAGGGAGCGCAGGCGGACCGGCAAGUUGGAAGUGAAAACUAUGGGCUCAACCCAUAAAUUGCUUUCAAAACUGCUGGCCUUGAGUAGUGCAGAGGUAGGUGGAAUUCCCGGUGUAGCGGUGGAAUGCGUAGAUAUCGGGAGGAACACCAGUGGCGAAGGCGGUCUACUGGGCACCAACUGACGCUGAGGCUCGAAAGCAUGGGUAGCAAACAGGAUUAGAUACCCUGGUAGUCCAUGCCGUAAACGAUGAUUACUAGGUGUUGGAGGAUUGACCCCUUCAGUGCCGCAGUUAACACAAUAAGUAAUCCACCUGGGGAGUACGACCGCAAGGUUGAAACUCAAAGGAAUUGACGGGGGCCCGCACAAGCAGUGGAGUAUGUGGUUUAAUUCGAAGCAACGCGAAGAACCUUACCAGGUCUUGACAUCCGAUGCAUAGUGCAGAGAUGCAUGAAGUCCUUCGGGACAUCGAGACAGGUGGUGCAUGGUUGUCGUCAGCUCGUGUCGUGAGAUGUUGGGUUAAGU
rnacentral:rRNA from 1 species